rnacentral:rRNA from 1 species
UACAGAGGGUGCGAGCGUUAAUCGGAAUUACUGGGCGUAAAGCGUGCGUAGACGGUUAUUAAAGUCGGAUGUGAAAGCCCCCGGCUCACCCGGGGAUCUGCAUCCCAAACUGCUUGGCUUGAGUACGGGAGAGGAUGUGGGAAUUCCUGGUGUAGCGGUGAAAUGCGUAGAUAUCAGGAGGAACACCGGUGGCGAAGGCGCACAUCUGGCCCGAUACUGACGCUGAGGCGCGAAAGCUAGGGGAGCAAACGGG